rnacentral:rRNA from 1 species
GAUGAACGCUGGCGGCGUGCCUAAUACAUGCAAGUCGAGCGAACGGACGAGAAGCUUGCUUCUCUGAUGUUAGCGGCGGACGGGUGAGUAACACGUGGAUAACCUACCUAUAAGACUGGGAUAACUUCGGGAAACCGGAGCUAAUACCGGAUAAUAUUUUGAACCGCAUGGUUCAAAAGUGUAAGACGGUCUUGCUGUCACUUAUAGAUGGAUCCGCGCUGCAUUAGCUAGUUGGUAAGGUAACGGCUUACCAAGGCAACGAUGCAUAGCCGACCUGAGAGGGUGAUCGGCCACACUGGAACUGAGACACGGUCCAGACUCCUACGGGAGGCAGCAGUAGGGAAUCUUCCGCAAUGGGCGAAAGCCUGACGGAGCAACGCCGCGUGAGUGAUGAAGGUCUUCGGAUCGUAAAACUCUGUUAUUAGGGAAGAACAUAUGUGUAAGUAACUGUGCACAUCUUGACGGUACCUAAUCAGAAAGCCACGGCUAACUACGUG